CUCCGAGCAAGUCACCGUCGAUGCCGUCACUGAACCAGACUUGGCCAGAGCUGAAUCAGAGCAGUGAGGAUACCGCCAUUGUGCAUCCAGUUCCCAUUCGUAUGACUCCAAGCAAAAUCCACAUGCAGGAGAUGGAGCUGAAAAGAAGCAGCGGUGGUAAGGACUGCGCUGCCCCGCUGCCCCGCUGCCAGCACCCAGAGCUCCACGUUUCUCUCCUAGGCCGUUUAUUGGGUUCUGGGUGUUUGUGUGUUUGGAUAGCCAGGGUCUCAUUUCAUAGUCCUGCCUGGCCUGGAACCCAUUUCAUAACCAGGUGUCCUAGAGUUACAGAGAUCACCUGCCUCUGCCUCCAGAGUUCUGGGAGUGAAGGCGUACCCCACCACUCCUGACUAGCAAUUGCUUAUUUUUUAACCUCAUACUUCCCUUCAGGGCUGUCUGUUUAAACAAUAUAAUUUUUAAAAGGAUAUUGUUUCAUAUAAAUAUUUAAAAUAGUGUUUAUGGGAAAUUUUCACAAAAUAAAUAAGGUCAUUUGAAAAUG
rnacentral:lncRNA from 1 species